AGGAGCCGGAUGAGAAGAAACUUUCAUGUCCGGUUCUGGAUUAGAGAUGGGAUCAAAAUACUAUUAACCAUUGACUAUAAC
rnacentral:ncRNA from 1 species